rnacentral:rRNA from 1 species
UACAGAGGUGGCAAGCGUUGUUCGGAAUUACUGGGCGUAAAGGGCGCGUAGGCGGCCUGUUAAGUCGGACGUGAAAUCCCUCGGCUCAACCGGGGAACUGCGUCCGAUACUGGCGGGCUUGAAUUCGGGAGAGGGAUGUGGAAUUCCAGGUGUAGCGGUGAAAUGCGUAGAUAUCUGGAGGAACACCGGUGGCGAAGGCGGUUCUCUGGGCCUUACCUGACGCUGAGGAGCGAAAGCGUGGGGAGCGAACAGG